rnacentral:rRNA from 1 species
AGUGAACGCUGGCGGUAGGCCUAACACAUGCAAGUCGAACGGCAGCACAGGAGAGCUUGCUCUCUGGGUGGCGAGUGGCGGACGGGUGAGGAAUACAUCGGAAUCUAUUCUGUCGUGGGGGAGAACGUAGGGAAACUUACGCUAAUACCGCAUACGACCUACGGGUGAAAGCAGGGGACCUUCGGGCCUUGCGCGAUUGAAUGAGCCGAUGUCGGCUUAGCUAGUUGGCGGGGUAAAGGCCCACCAAGGCGACGAUCCGUAGAUGUGCUGAGAGGAUGAUCAGCCACACUGGAACUGAGACACGGUCCAGACUCCUACGGGAGGCAGCAGUGGGGAAUAUUGGACAAUGGGCGCAAGCCUGAUCCAGCCAUACCGCGUGGGUGAAGAAGGCCUUCGGGUUGUAAAGCCCUUUUGUUGGGAAAGAAAUCCAGCUGGCUAAUACCCGGUUGGGAUGACGGUACCCAAAGAAUAAGCACCGGCUAACUUCGUGCCAGCCGCCGCCGUAA